AGUGCCCUCUGCUCCAGAGUGUCUGCAAGCCUUUUAUUCGCAGCCUGCACCCGGGAGUCUCCUCUGACCUGGAAAUCAUUGGGAAGUCGUCUUGUUUUAUUGGCUCCUUUGUACCAAACCCUGGCGCAGGUGGCCGCAUUCUAGUGUGCCAGCUCAGAGUUGGUUAUGACCGCUCUUCCUCCUCGUUGUGAGCGCCUGCGCGUUCGGAGCGUCGUUGACACAGGAAGGAACCUCUUAACCCAACGCUCCACCGCAGCCUCCAGAAUUCUCUUCCAAGCUGUUGGCGUGCACUCUGCAAGCUAUUCCGCUGUACGCCUCAUAACCUUUAAAAAAAUGUAUUUAAUGGA